GGAACAUUGCGGCUGCUAUACAUGCGUCGAGCGGACAGAAGGGAGCUUGCUCCCGGAUGUUAGCGGCGGACGGGUGAGUAACACGUGGGUAACCUGCCUGUAAGACUGGGAUAACUCCGGGAAACCGGAGCUAAUACCGGAUAGUUCCUUGAACCGCAUGGUUCAAGGAUGAAAGACGGUUUCGGCUGUCACUUACAGAUGGACCCGCGGCGCAUUAGCUAGUUGGUGAGGUAACGGCUCACCAAGGCGACGAGCGUAGCCGACCUGAGAGGGUGAUCGGCCACACUGGGACUGAGACACGGCCCAGACUCCUACGGGAGGCAGCAGUAGGGAAUCUUCCGCAAUGGACGAAAGUCUGACGGAGCAACGCCGCGUGAGUGAUGAAGGUUUUCGGAUCGUAAAGCUCUGUUGUUAGGGAAGAACAAGUGCAAGAGUAACUGCUUGCACCUUGACGGUACCUAACCAGAAAGCCACGGCUAACUACGUGCCAGCAGCCGCGGUAAUACGUAGGUGGCAAGCGUUGUCCGGAAUUAUUGGGCGUAAAGGGCUCGCAGGCGGUUUCUUAAGUCUGAUGUGAAAGCCCCCGGCUCAACCGGGGAGGGUCAUUGGAAACUGGGAAACUUGAGUGCAGAAGAGGAGAGUGGAAUUCCACGUGUAGCGGUGAAAUGCGUAGAGAUGUGGAGGAACACCAGUGGCGAAGGCGACUCUCUGGUCUGUAACUGACGCUGAGGAGCGAAAGCGUGGGGAGCGAACAGGAUUAGAUACCCUGGUAGUCCACGCCGUAAACGAUGAGUGCUAAGUGUUAGGGGGUUUCCGCCCCUUAGUGCUGCAGCUAACGCAUUAAGCACUCCGCCUGGGGAGUACGGUCGCAAGACUGAAACUCAAAGGAAUUGACGGGGGCCCGCACAAGCGGUGGAGCAUGUGGUUAAUUCGAA
rnacentral:rRNA from 1 species